rnacentral:rRNA from 1 species
AAAUAUUGGAAUUUACACCCGAACAAGCCCGAUCCUGUCUGAUCUCAGAAGCUAAGCAGGGUUGGGCCUAGUUAGUACUUGGAUAAGAGACCACCUAGGAAGACCAGGUGCUAUAGGUG